AGCAGCCGCGGUAAUUCCAGCUCCAAUAGCGUAUAUUAAAGUUGUUGCAGUUAAAAAGCUCGUAGUUGAAUUUCGGGACCAAUUUGUUGGUCGUGCCUCGGUACGUACUGGUAUUAUUGGUUUCUCCCUUCUGAAGAACCUUGAUGUCAUUAAUUUGGUGUCUUGGGGAAUCAGGACUGUUACUUUGAAAAAAUUAGAGUGUUUAAAGCAAGCAUACGCUUGAAUACAUUAGCAUGGAAUAAUGAAAUAGGACGUUUGAUUCUAUUUUGUUGGUUUCUAGGAUCGACGUAAUGAUUAAUAGGGAUAGUUGGGGGCAUUAGUAUUCAAUUGUCAGAGGUGAAAUUCUUGGAUUUAUUGAAGACUAACUACUGCGAAAGCAUUUGCCAAGGAUGUUUUCAUUAAUCAAGAACGAAAGUUAGGGGAUCGAAGACGAUCAGAUACCGUCGUAGUCUUAACCAUAAACUAUGCCGACUAGGGAUCGGAUGAUGUUAAUUUUUAAUGACUCAUUCGGCGCCUUACG
rnacentral:rRNA from 1 species